rnacentral:tRNA from 1 species
AGGGCUAUAGCUCAGUUGGUAGAGCACCUCGUUUACACACCGAGACGGUCUACGGUUCGAGUCCGUAUAGCCCUA